rnacentral:rRNA from 1 species
UACGAAGGGGGCGAGCGUUGUUCGGAUUUACUGGGCGUAAAGGGCGCGUAGGCGGCGGGUCAAGUCGAGUGUGAAAGCCCCGGGCUCAACCUGGGAAUUGCGCUCGAGACUGGUCUGCUUGAGUUCGGGAGAGGAGAGUGGAAUUCCCGGUGUAGCGGUGAAAUGCGCAGAUAUCGGGAAGAACACCCGUGGCGAAGGCGGCUCUCUGGAACGCAACUGACGCUGAGACGCGAAAGCGUGGGGAGCAAACAGG